rnacentral:rRNA from 1 species
CUCGAGGCCAGAUCUAGAGUUUGAUCCUGGCUGAGCGCGAACGUUGGCGGCGUGCCUAACACAUGCAAGUCGUGGGGCAGCGGGCCCCCUCCUUUUGGAGGGGGUGCCGGCGACCGGCGAACGGGUGAGUAACGCGUAGCUAACCUACCUCCAGGAUGGGGAUAACCCCCCGAAAGGGGGGCUAAUACCCAAUAAUGAGUCCUAUUAAUAAAGUAGGACUCCAAAGGCCUUCGGGCGCCUGGAGAUGGGGCUGCGUCCCAUCAGGUAGUUGGUGAGGUAAUGGCUCACCAAGCCUACGACGGGUAGCCGGCCUGAGAGGGUGGCCGGCCACAGCGGGACUGAGACACGGCCCGCACCCCUACGGGGGGCAGCAGUGGGGAAUCUUGGGCAAUGGCCGAAAGGCUGACCCAGCGACGCCGCGUGGUGGAUGAAGCCCUUCGGGGUGUAAACACCUGUCAGGGGGGAAGACAAUGACGGUACCCCCAGAGGAAGGGACGGCUAACUACGUGCCAGCAGCCGCGGUAAUACGUAGGUCCCGAACGUUGCGCGAAAUUACUGGGCGUAAA